AGGGCGAACGCUGGCGGCGUGCUUAACACAUGCAAGUCGAGCGGAAAGGCCCUUCGGGGUACUCGAGCGGCGAACGGGUGAGUAACACGUGAGUAACCUGCCCUGGACUUUGGGAUAACCCUCGGAAACGGGGGCUAAUAACCGAAUAUGACUUCCCUGCGCAUGUAGGGUGGUGGAAAGUUUUUUCGGUCUGGGAUGGGCUCGCGGCCUAUCAGCUUGUUGGUGGGGUGAUGGCCUACCAAGGCGACGACGGGUA
rnacentral:rRNA from 1 species